rnacentral:rRNA from 1 species
UACGUAGGGGGCCAGCGUUGUCCGGAUUUAUUGGGCGUAAAGAGCGUGUAGGCGGCCAGGUAGGUCUGGUGUGAAAACUCGAGGCUCAACCUCGAGAUGUCAUCGGAAACCAUCUGGCUAGAGUCCGGAAGAGGAGAGUGGAAUUCCUGGUGUAGCGGUGAAAUGCGCAGAUAUCAGGAAGAACACCUAUGGCGAAGGCAGCUCUCUGGGACGGUACUGACGCUGAGACGCGAAAGCGUGGGGAGCAAACAGG